GACGAACGCUGGCGGCGUGCCUAAUACAUGCAAGUCGAGCGGACCGAACGAGGGCUUGCUCUUGUUUGGUCAGCGGCGGACGGGUGAGUAACACGUGGGCAACCUGCCCGCAAGACCGGGAUAACUCCGGGAAACCGGAGCUAAUACCGGAUAACACCGAAGACCGCAUGGUCGUCGGUUGAAAGGCCGCCUGUGGGCUGUCACUUGCGGAUGGGCCCGCGGCGCAGUAGCUAGUUGGUGAGGUAACGGCUCACCAAGGCGACGAUGCGUAGCCGGCCUGAGAGGGUGACCGGCCACACUGGGACUGAGACACGGCCCAGACUCCUACGGGAGGCAGCAGUAGGGAAUCUUCCGCAAUGGGCGAAAGCCUGACGGAGCGACGCCGCGUGAGCGAAGAAGGCCUUCGGGUCGUAAAGCUCUGUUGUGAGGGACGAAGGAGCGCCGUUCGAAGAGGGCGGCGCGGUGACGGUACCUCACGAGAAAGCCCCGGCUAACUACGUGCCAGCAGCCGCGGUAA
rnacentral:rRNA from 1 species